rnacentral:rRNA from 1 species
UACGAGGGGGCGAGCGUUGUUCGGAAUUAUUGGGCGUAAAGGGUGCGUAGGCGGUUUGGUAAGUCUGAUGUGAAAUCUAUGGGCUCAACUCAUAGUCUGCAUCGGAAACUGCCGGGCUUGGGUGUGGGAGAGGUGAGUGGAAUUCCUGGUGUAGCGGUGAAAUGCGUAGAUAUCAGGAGGAACACCUGUGGCGAAAGCGGCUCACUGGACCAUAACUGACGCUGAUGCACGAAAGCUAGGGGAGCAAACAGG